UUGUACUGCCUUUAAUAUUUUUGUCCAUUUAAAAUCACGAGAAUCUGUAGGUGGGCUUCAAGUCCAGUAUCUAGAUUAAUACAAAUAUCAAUAAUUUUAAUACUAAUGUGGCUGUAGUUUAGUGGUUAGAAUUCCACGUUGUGGCCGUGGAGACCUGGGCUCGAAUCCCAGCAGCCACACUAAUUGUUUUCUUAUUUUAUUUUUCCUAUUGUGUUCAUUUGUCUCUGGUUUAUAAAUUUCUCAUACCUAAUUCUGCUCUUCUUUUCCAACUGGGGUUUCGAUUUUCGAGCUUGCACUCCCUUGAGAAGAAGCUUUAGUGAGAAAAGCCUUCUCUCAAGACUUCCAUUCUCCAAUAAUUCAUUUCACACAUACCUGAAGAUCAAAAGUGCAAACUUUACUCGAAGGUGGAUGUAGCUGGUAGAGGUUCUACAGGCCACACUGCUACUUGAGUUGACUUUUGCAAAGAGGAAUUAAGCGCUGAUAUGAGAGACCUUGAACUUAAAAUUGAGAUUAAAGUAAAAUGUUUUUGACUGAUUGAGAAAUAUAUAUAUUUUGUGUGGGAUUCAAAAAUUUUGCGCUGAGAUAUCAAUCUGGUUAUAGCAUAUAACUGUGUGGUGAUUAAUUGUAUGGCUGAAUUAGAAUGAUGUUCAUGGACACAAUAUAUCCAUUUGUGUUUUAUUUUAGGAAUAAUAACUCGUAAUAUUUAAGUCA